ACCAUCUCCCAAUCUGCGCGAUUGCACUUGGCUGAAGUAGUGUAAUUGUCGUAUAUGGUGAGAGAAAGAAACCUGAGUUGUGUGUGCACAUCAGAGAGACCCUGCUGUGGUCUCCCUGUUCCAUGCUAAAUUCUACACCU
ensembl:snoRNA